GAUGAACGCUGGCGGCGUGCUUAACACAUGCAAGUCGAACGAGAAGUGGAGACGGAAACCUUCGGGCGGAAGACUUUAUUUCGAGUGGCGGACGGGUGAGUAACGCGUGGGAAACCUGCCUCAUACAGGGGGAUAACAGUUGGAAACGACUGUUAAUACCGCAUAAGACCACAGCACCGCAUGGUGCGGGGGUAAAAACUCCGGUGGUAUGAGAUGGACCCGCGUUCGAUUAGCCAGUUGGCGGGGUAACGGCCCACCAAAGCGACGAUCGAUAGCCGAUCUGAGAGGAUGACCGGCCACAUUGGGACUGAGACACGGCCCAAACUCCUACGGGAGGCAGCAGUGGGGAAUAUUGCACAAUGGGGGAAACCCUGAUGCAGCGACGCCGCGUGAGUGAAGAAGUAUUUCGGUAUGUAAAGCUCUAUCAGCAGGGAAGAAAAUGACGGUACCUGAGUAAGAAGCCCCGGCUAACUACGUG
rnacentral:rRNA from 1 species